GACGAACGCUGGCGGCGUGCCUAAUACAUGCAAGUAGAACGCUGAAGGAGGAGCUUACUUCUCUGGAUGAGUUGCGAACGGGUGGGUAACGCGUAGGUAACCUGCCUGGUAGCGGGGGAUAACUAUUGGAAACGAUAGCUAAUACCGCAUAAGAGUAGAUGUUGCAUGACAUUGGCUUAAAAGGUUCAAUGGCAUCACUACCAGAUGGACCUGCGUUGUAUUAGCUAGUUGGUGGGGUAACGGCUCACCAAGGCGACGAUACGUAGCCGACCUGAGAGGGUGAUCGGCCACACUGGGACUGAGACACGGCCCAGACUACUACGGGAGGCAGCAGUAGGGAAUCUGCGGCAAUGGACGGAAGUCUUGCCGAGCAACGCCACGUGAGUGAAGAAGGUUUUCGGAUCGUAAAGCCCUGUUGUAAGAGAAGAACGAGUGUGAGAGUGGAAAGUUCACACUGUGCCGGUAUCUUACCAGAAAGGGACGGCUAACUCCGU
rnacentral:rRNA from 1 species